UACGUAGGGGGCAAGCGUUAUCCGGAUUUACUGGGUGUAAAGGGGGCGCAGACGGCGAUGCAAGCCAGGAGUGAAAGCCCGGGGCCCAACCCCGGGACUGCUCUUGGAACUGCGUGGCUGGAGUGCAGGAGGGGCAGGCGGAAUUCCUGGUGUAGCGGUGAAAUGCGUAGAUAUCAGGAGGAACACCGGUGGCGAAGGCGGCCUGCUGAACUGCAACUGACGUUGAGGCCCGAAAGCGUGGGGAGCAAACAGG
rnacentral:rRNA from 1 species